GAACGCGAAGAACCUUACCUGGUCUUGACAUGUACGGAAUCCUCCAGAGACGGAGGAGUGCCUUUGGGAGCCGUAACACAGGUGCUGCAUGGCUGUCGUCAGCUCGUGUCGUGAGAUGUUGGGUUAAGUCCCGCAACGAGCGCAACCCUUGUCAUUAGUUGCCAUCAUUUAGUUGGGCACUCUAAUGAGACUGCCGGUGACAAGCCGGAGGAAGGUGGGGAUGACGUCAAGUCCUCAUGGCCCUUAUGACCAGGGCUUCACACGUCAUACAAUGGUCGGUACAGAGGGUAGCCAAGCCGCGAGGUGGAGCCAAUCUCACAAAACCGAUCGUAGUCCGGAUUGCACUCUGCAACUCGAGUGCAUGAAGUCGGAAUCGCUAGUAAUCGCAGGUCAGCAUACUGCGGUGAAUACGUUCCCGGGUCUUGUACACACC
rnacentral:rRNA from 1 species